AAUUCAAAAGCAAAAAUUCAAGUUUUAAAAAUUCAAUUAAAAUAAAUUCAGGUUGCUCAAAUUCGACCUGUCAAAUUCGACUGCUAAAAUACAACGCUCAAAAUUCGCUGUCAACAUCCAGGACACACAGGAUGAGCAAUCGAUUCAGUCUUCAAUCGAGCCAACAACCAGCCAAUCACAUCACGCUCCGAAGAUCACGUGACAGGUAGCGCCUCACGGCUCAGAGCCGCUCAACCCGAGUCACUGCCCCCUCCGCUGCUCCUCUCGAGUAGGUUGAAAAGAAGAUGGAGAAGUUUCAGCUUGCAGCUAUGGAGAGUUCACCACGAAAAGAACGAAGUCAAAGAAUACAAAGAUCUGUCCAUAUUCUGAAGUCACCACUUGAAGAUUUUAUGCAGAAUUAUUUGGAUUAUGAAUAGGAACCACAUUAUUUGCAACAGCUUUUAUUAUUUAUACAAACAAGAUGAACAUGAUAUGUUGUGCCAGAAUAUAGGGAGGCUGCCUAAAACAUACAAAAAAAAAAUACAGAACACAUGUAAACAACUAAAGAAAAACAGAACAUGGCACAUGUAAAUAAAUCAAAUAAACACAGCACAGACUGCAUGAAAUUGGAUUUCUUUAUUUGUUCUUUAAAAGUUUGGAGAAAGGAAACCUGUGGAAUACAAAAGAAACUUGAAAAAUUACUGCAUUUGAUACAUGGAUAUAAUUAAACAUUUUAAGAACAUUA